rnacentral:rRNA from 1 species
UACAGAGGGUGCGAGCGUUGUCCGGAAUCACUGGGCGUAAAGGGCGCGUAGGUGGCGGCCCAAGUCCAUGGUGAAAGCUCGAUGCUCAACAUCGAGUCGGCCACGGAUACUGGGUUGCUCGAGCACUGUAGGGGCAGAUGGAAUUCCGGGUGUAGCGGUGGAAUGCGUAGAGAUCCGGAGGAACACCGGUGGCGAAGGCGGCAUCCUGGACCAAUUCUGACGCUGAGUGAGCGAAAGCCAGGGGAGCAAACGGG